AGAACGAACGCUGGCGGUAGGCCUCAAACAUGCAAGUCUAGGGGGUGUAGCAAUACAUCACCGGCGGACGGGUGCGUAACACGUGGGAAUAUACCUUUUGGUUCGGAACAACGCAGGGAAACUUGCGCUAAUACCGAAUGUGCCCUUACGGGGAAAGAUUUAUCGCCAAAGGAUUAGCCCGCGUAGGAUUAGCUAGUUGGUGAGGUAAUGGCUCACCAAGGCUCCGAUCCUUAGCUGUUCUGAGAGGAAGAUCAGCCACACUGGGACUGAGACACGGCCCAGACUCCUACGGGAGGCAGCAGUUGGGAAUCUUGGACAAUGGGGGAAACCCUGAUCCAGCCAUGCCGCGUGAGUGAUGAAGGCCUUCGGGUUGUAAAACUCUUUCGACGGGGACGAUAAUGACGGUACCCGUAGAAGAAGCUCCGGCUAACUUCGUGCCAGCAGCCGC
rnacentral:rRNA from 1 species